rnacentral:tRNA from 1 species
GGAAUUAGUUUAGUGGUAGAAUAGAAGGCUUCCGAUCUUUUGGCGUGGGUUCGAUUCCCACAUUCC